rnacentral:sRNA from 1 species
UCGACAGCCCUAGAGCCUGAAGUCUUCUAUUUAACCACAGAACAGGUGAAGCUCAGGCAGCUACAAUGCAACCUUCCAGCCACACCAAUGUGCCUUAGUGUUGAUCUGGAGGGCCUCACUUCUAGGAUUUUAGACCUCCGGGCCCAUUCAGUUCUGAACUCUGAUUAA